GCCAGGCGCAGUGGCGCGUGCCUGUAGUCCCAGCUAAUCGGAAGGCUGAGGCUGGGGGAUCAGGAGCCCAGGAAUUUUGGCCUGUAGUUCGCUGUGCUGAUCAGGUGUCCGCACUAAGUUUGGCAUCAAUAUGGUGACCUCCUGGGAGCCGGGAACCACCAGGUUGCCUAAGGAGGGGUGAACCGGCCCAAGUCGGAAAUGGAGCUGGUCAAAACUCCCGUGCUGAUCAGUAGUUGGAUUGUGCCUGUGAAAAGCCACUGCACUCCAGCCUGGGCAACAUAGGGAGACCCCGUCUCUG
ensembl:misc_RNA Metazoa_SRP Metazoan signal recognition particle RNA